CACGCGAACCCCAAGCGUUAUCCGGAUUUACUGGGCGUAAAGGGUACGUAGGCGGCACUGUCAGUCUUUUGUCAAAGACCUCAGCUCAACUGAGGAACGGCAAAGGAUACGACAGUGCUUGAGGGUGCGAGAGGUGUACGGAACCCACGGUGUAGAGGUGAAAUUCGUUGAUAUCGUGGGGAACGCCAAAGGCGAAGGCAGUACACUGGCGCAUUCCUGACGCUGAGGUACGAAAGCCAGGGUAGCGAAGAGG
rnacentral:misc_RNA from 1 species